GUGCCAGCAGCCGCGGUAAUUCCUCCAAUAGCGUAUAUUAAAGUUGUUGCAGUUAAAAAGCUCGUAGUUGAACCUUGGGUCUGGCUGGUCGGUCCGCCUCACCGCGAGUACUGAUCCGGCUGGACCUUUCCUUCUGGGGAACCUCAUGGCCUUCACUGGCUGUGGGGGGAACCAGGACUUUUACUGUGAAAAAAUUAGAGUGUUCAAAGCAGGCCUUUGCUCGAAUACAUUAGCAUGGAAUAAUAGAAUAGGACGUGCGGUUCUAUUUUGUUGGUUU
rnacentral:rRNA from 1 species